rnacentral:lncRNA from 1 species
AUCAGGGUAUUCAAACUCCUAAUUUCAUGGGGUAUAGGACCUUCCAAAAGAUUCGAAGCCAUGGAUAGACACCAUAAAUUGGAUAAACUACUCAAACUUGGAGGGAUGACACUACUAAUUUGAUUAUGGUGGAGGUAGAGAGAUUCCAGUUUUGUUAACUGACCCAAAGAGGAAGGGAUUUGACCCGAAAGUCUAUUGGAGGAUAGAUCCAAUUCAACCAAAUUCGUUAGUCCCCCAAUAUCUUCUGGAAUGGAUCCAUUAAGUUGGUUGCUUUGAAGGAACAACGAGGAAAGAUUAGUUAAGUUGCUGACAGAAGAUGGGAUUGGACCAACAAACCAAUUGUUUGAGAGAUCCAAAUAUUUUAAAUCCUUCAACCUCUCAAUUUCAUGGGGGAUGAAACCAUUAAUUUGAUUAUGGUAGAGGUAGAGAGAUUCCAGUUUUGUUAACUGACCCAAAGAGGAAGGGAUUUGACCCGAAAGUCUAUUGGAGGAUAGAUCCAAUUCAACCAAAUUCGUUAGUCCCCCAAUAUCUUCUGGAAUGGAUCCAUUAAGUU